rnacentral:sRNA from 1 species
CCACCAGACACACAGACAUGCACACACAGCUCUCCAUGGGCUGCCCUGGGUGUGCCUGAGAAGGGUCUGGGAUAGAGACCUAAAAUUCAGUCAGCAGAUCUCUGUCAAGGGCCUGCCAUGGGCCAGCCACUCUGAUGAGGGCUUUCAUCAACAUGAUUGCAUUUAAACCUCACAGCCACCCCAUGAGGUAGGUAGCAUUACCCCUAGUUUACCAUUAAUGCAGUCAAUCCCAACAGGUGACUUGCCCAAGUCACAUAUCUAUUUAAGUAACAGGGCCAGCUUCCGAAUCCACAUGUGUGGCACCAAGUCUGGUAUUCUUUCCCCCAGGCUGCAUUGUUUAUCUCUCUUGCAAAAUGCUGUUUUCUUCCAGGGGCUGGGAAAGGGCUACUGGGGAGGUGAGACAUGGAGAUGGGGGCAUAGGAGGCCAGGAGCAGGGCCCUAGGCUGAGGUGCUCUGCUUCCCCCUCAGAAUGGCCUUUGUGCUGCACCAGGCUGGGCCCCCCCACAGCCAUGGGUCUAGGGGAGCAGAGUAUGCACCGCUGGAGGAGGGGCCUGAAGAGCCCCUGCCCCUGGGGAACACCAGCGUCCGGGCGGCAUUUGUGCACGUGCUGGGGGACCUCCUGCAGAGCUUUGGGGUACUGGCUGCCUCCAUCCUCAUCUACUUCAAGCCUCAAUACAAGGCAGCCGACCCCAUCAGCACCUUCCUCUUCUCCAUCUGUGCCCUUGGAUCCACGGCUCCCACCCUCCGAGACGUUCUUCGAAUCCUCAUGGAAGGUACCCCCCGCAAUGUGGGGUUCGAACCUGUGCGGGAUACGCUGUUGUCGGUGCCAGGAGUCCGGGCAACCCAUGAGCUGCACCUGUGGGCCCUUACGCUCACUUACCAUGUUGCCUCUGCACACCUGGCCAUCGGUGAGUCCCACUGGCCCCAGCUAGUUACUACCUGGAACAUACCCCACCCCAAACAUGGGACCAUAGCUUGAGUUUCUGGAAUUGUUUCAGUCUUUUUUGAUCUGUCUCUGUUUCUCUGUGUCUCUCUCUCACAUAGACACAUACACACACACACAUGCACGUGCGCUCAUGCAUGUUGGAGACAAGGAGUCUCCAUCCACUGGAUGCAGUGUUCUGGGGGCAGUUUCACCCUCUUUGAAGUAGCACAGGGAACCAACAACCCUUUAAAAGAUCAUUAGUACCUACAGGUCUAGUGAUGGGGCACAGUUAGUUAAAUUACAGCACCUCCACCCUGAGGUAUCACAUAACUGUUAAAAAUGAUGCUUAUGAAGACUGUACAGCAACUAGGAAAAAUGUUUAUGGUAUAAUGCUGAGAAAAAAGCUGAAUAUAAAAUUGCAUCUACAUUAUGAUUCAACUAUUAAAAAUAUAUAUGGUGAGUCAUGAGCUGACAAAGGAUUUUUGAGUUUCUUCCAGAUGCAAGAAGCAAUCAGAGUCAUGCAAUUUGUAUGCCAAAAAUAUUAUAAUUUGUGGGAUAUUUGAUGGAAACUCUAGAGGGACAAUGAGACAGAUAUUUAACAACUGGAUUGUCCUGGGAAAUCGGGUGGUAUGGCUGCUGAAACGUUGAGCUGUAUGUUGACACUUAAUGACAGGAGAGAAUAGGAGACUGGAAAGAGUUUAGUGUGUUAGCACGGUUGAUUGGGGUGAGUCUCUCCAACAUUUGAUUUGACACUUUUAUGCUGUUCAUACAAUACAGAAAGAAAAGCAGGCUCCCAUUCACGCCUGGCUUUAAUGCUGUGCAGCCCCUUUCCCUGUCCUUAUCUCAGUCCCUGCCUGUUCUUUCUCCCCCGGGAUGGAUGCCGCCUCUUAUCACUCUCCCACAGACUCCACCGCUGACCCUGAAGCCGUCCUGGCUGAAGCCUCAUCCCGGCUCUACUCCCGGUUUGGAUUCUCCAGCUGCACCCUGCAGGUCGAGCAGUACCAGCCGGAGAUGGCCCAGUGCCUGCGCUGCCAGGAACCCCCCCAAGCCUGAGCCAUGGCCCUGCCCUCACCCCACUGCCAGGCCGAGGCUCAGCCCCGGACUCUCAGCAUCUGCUGCCCUGAUCACAGAGACGGGACCGAGCCAGGUCCAUACCCCUUCCUCUCUCCCUCCUACCACCUGCCAGUUUCCCCAGCCUCAGCCCCAGCCCCAGCCCCAGUGGGCAAGACCAAAGUGUGGCGGGGAGUGGGGUGGGAGUCAGGGGAAUAGAUGUGACUAGUUCAGGGGCGGGGACUCCCAGGCCUCAGUGUGGCAGGGUGUGUUGAAGGCCUGUGGUGCCAUCUCCCCAUGGUUCAUGUGGAGCCACGAACAUCCUUUCCCUGCAGUCCAUUUGUCUGUGUGGCAGGCUGGCUGGCUGGGGGCAUCUGCCUGUCUAUGUGCUGUUGGUGUGCCUAUGCCUGGGGGAGGUCAGUAGGGGCCCCCUCCCCACAUGGCCCUCGCUCUGUCUAUGCAGGGGCCCCAAAGCCCGCACUUUGUCCGUGUGUCUUAGCCCUGUGGUUUUGUCUCUCUGUGUGUGUGUGUGUGUGUGUGUGUGUGUGUUCUUGGUGCUGUGGCCUGUGUGUCUCUGUGCCUAUGUGGCUGUGCUAUGGUUUCUAUGAGUCUGCUCCAUCCAUGUGUCUGUUUGGGGGUCUAUCUCUCCAUCCCUCUGUUGGUGCUGUGCCCUUGGCUAUCCCUGAAAGAGGGAGGACUCCGCUGCAGCUCCACCAAUAAACUUGUGUCUCACUGCAUCUUUCAGCCUGUGUGCUGACUCCUCAGAAGGGGGAAAUCAAAUAGGUCAUUUGAGAACAACAGAAUCCCUCCUGUCCCUUCCCAGCCUCUGGAGUGACCUCCCACAGACCUCCUGUCCCUUCCCAGCCCCUCCACCCUCAGAUGGAGGGUAAAAGCCACCAGUCUCUUUACUCCCCUUCCCCUGGCUCACAGCAUGCCUGGGUCCUUGGCUCAGGGACAGUCCCAUGUGCCCUGGGCUUGGUUGCAGAAUGCUGGAAGGUAAGGAGCCAAGGAAUCCCUGGGAGUCAGUCGUUCUCAGAGGUCCCUGCAUGCCAGUGGGCCUCAGGCUGGCUGGAGGGAGGCUGGGUCCCUUUGAGGGAAAAUGGCUAGACCAUAGCACUGAUGUGGGCUUGGUUCUCAGGCCAUCUAAGGUGUCCAGCGGUAGGGACCCCUCAACCCUGAUAGCAGCCAACCCUGAGUCCAGGUUUAGGCUGUGAACACCAAGGACCUCUUUUACACCUAUUCCCCCUUUGUCUUAAGAACUGCAUAUUUUGACACAUUAAGUCUUAAAAUCAGGCUCAUUAAGGGAUUGUUGAUUUUCUCUUUAAAAAAAAUCAAACUCAAGCUGGACAUAGUGGCCUGUGCCUGUAAUCUCAGCCCUUUGGAGGCUGAGGCAGGAGGAUUGUUUGAGCCCAGGAGUUCAAGACCAGCCUGGGCAACCUAGGGAAACCCCUGUCUCUAC